AUGUGCCUCGCCUAUCUCCUCCUGGCUGCCUUCCUGAGGCAACCACAGGGCACCAUGGGGCAGGUCACUGUCACCCAGCAAGAAGGACAAGUCACAGUGAAGGAAAGAGAAACCUUCCACACCAUCUGCACAUACCAGUCACGUACCUUUGAUGCAUUGUUGUGGUACCAGCAGAAGAAAGGCCAAGCUCCCCAGCUGCUCUCGUCCCAGGCAGCAGCUGGCCCCAAGCACAGCAGCCAUCUGACCACGCUGCUGAACACCACGGGGAAAUACAGCCUGCUGCAGCUGGAGGAAGUGGAGGUCUCUGACAGUGCCUUGUACCUCUGUGCUGUGGGUGACACCCUGGUGCAGGAGCUUGCUUGGCUGUGCAAGAAGCCAGGGGAGGGAGGGGAAGUGUCUGGGCAAGGCUGAGCAUGGGGGAAUGGGCCCUCAGCUCUCCGCUGGCAGCUCUGCUUCCUGUGUGCACCCAGGGAUCUGAAGGACAAGAUCCUCUUCCAGGAGAGGACAAUGUCUGUGGCUGCAGAGGUGGUGAAAGAGUCUCAGGUCUCCUUGUUUUCACCA